GCCAGCAUAGCAUAGUGGUUUGAGUGUUAGACUGUGACUCUGGAGACCAGGGUUAGAUUCCCAGCCUGGUCA
rnacentral:tRNA from 1 species